CCUACGGGAGGCAGCAGUGAGGAAUAUUGGUCAAUGGGCGGAAGCCUGAACCAGCCAAGUAGCGUGCAGGAUGACGGCCCUACGGGUUGUAAACUGCUUUUAUACGGGAAUAACGCGCCUUACGUGUAGUGCUUUGCAUGUACCGUAUGAAUAAGGACCGGCUAAUUCCGUGCCAGCAGCCGCGGUAAUACGGAGGGUCCGGGCGUUAUCCGGAUUUAUUGGGUUUAAAGGGAGCGUAGGCGGGAUGUCAAGCGUGCUGUGAAAGGUUCGGGCUCAACCCGGGCCUUGCAGCGCGUACUGGCGUGCUUGAGUCCGCGGAAAGCAGGCGGAAUUCGUGGUGUAGCGGUGAAAUGCUUAGAUAUAACGAAGAACCCCGAUUGCGAAGGCAGCUUGCUGCAGCGGAACUGACGCUGAUGCUCGAAAGCGCGGGUAUCGAACAGGAUUAGAUACCCCGGUAGUC
rnacentral:rRNA from 1 species